AUAGAUAAAAUAUUAAUUUUAAAAGGAAAAGGAAUAAGGUUGAAAGGUAUUUAUAGAAGAUGAAUAUUUGGACUUCUGAGGACCGGUGAGGUCAGGCUGUGAAAGGGAAGAUGUUGUUGUCGGGGAACAAUUUGGGAGAAGGCCUUAAAAGAGCUGCUGAGGUGCAGAGAAAAGCCGGCCUAUCUGUCUAGCAGGGCACCUCCUGACUGAAACCUGGACUUCAGUGGACAUCUGGACAUCCCAUCUGGGAAUCUGGCUUUCAGUUCCAUCUCAUGGCAAGCCUUCAAGGGAGCACUGAAGUCCUUAGCAGCCUCAGAAGAAGAAGACUUUUAGGGCACUUGAGCAGGAGGGCUGCUGUUAACAGAGGAACAGAAAGUGACUGGAGACCUGAGGACACAGAUGAAACUGGAAUACUUGUGUCCUGCUGAUGAGAAGGGAGAGUGCCAGUUCCUCAGAAAGUUAAACAGUAGCACGUCCUGAAAUUUUCAAACCUGCAUUGACUACAGGACUAAGAUUUUAUGAUGGAAAAUAUCUCUGUAAAAGCAGAGCCUCAGAUUUUUGAAGAUGUGGCUGUGUACUUCACAGAGCAGGAACUGGCCAGCUUGACACUUGAUCAGAAUACUCUGUACAAAGAUGUGGUGCUUGAGAACUUUGCACAUGUGGCUUUUCUGGGGUACAUCUCAAAACUAAGAAAAUAUGCUCAACUGGCUGAAGCAGAGGCAUCCAGGGUGAAGGUGUUCCUCUAAGUCGGGUGUGCGGGGACAAGGAUAAAGGAAGGGUGUCAGCCCAAGUGUCACUGCUGUCAAGUGCAGGUUUUUCUGUAGUCAUGCAUAUUUCCUUCCAAGUAGAUGCCAUGCCAUGCUUUUAGUUCACUAAAGUUGUUCAUUAUGAUUGCAGAGCAGGCCAUCAUGUCCUUUUUAAUGGCUUUAUGAAGACAGACUUCAUCAACCAUACACUUAUUUAAAAUGAAAUAAAAACCCUUUUCAGCACACAAAGGAAGAUAAUAAUGAGGUAGAUACGGGCUUUCAGGCUUAGCCAGCGAUCUACAGAAUGUGACA